rnacentral:rRNA from 1 species
CCAUCAGAACUCCGAAGUUAAGCGUGCUUGGGCGAGAGUAGUACUAGGAUGGGUGACCUCCUGGGAAGUCCUCGUGUUGCAUUCC